CGAACGGGUGAGUAACGCGUGGGUAACCUGCCUUAUAGCGGGGGAUAACUAUUGGAAACGAUAGCUAAUACCGCAUAACAAUAGAGAUUGCAUAAUCUUUAUUUGAAAGUGCCAACUGGUACACUAUGAGAUGGACCCGCGUUGUAUUAGCUAGUUGGUAGUGUAAUGGACUACCAAGGCGAUGAUACAUAGCCGACCUGAGAGGGUGAUCGGCCACAUUGGGACUGAGACACGGCCCAAACUCCUACGGGAGGCAGCAGUAGGGAAUCUUCGGCAAUGGACGAAAGUCUGACCGAGCAACGCCGCGUGAGUGAAGAAGGUUUUCGGAUCGUAAAACUCUGUUGUUAGAGAAGAAUGUUGAUUAGAGUGGAAAAUUAAUCAAGUGACGGUAUCUAACCAGAAAGGGACGGCUAACUACGUGCCAGCAGCCGCGGUAAUACGUAGGUCCCGAGCGUUGUCCGGAUUUAUUGGGCGUAAAGCGAGCGCAGGUGGUUUAAUAAGUCUGAUGUAAAAGGCAGUGGCUCAACCAUUGUGUGCAUUGGAAACUGUUAGACUUGAGUGCAGUAGAGGAGAGUGGAAUUCCAUGUGUAGCGGUGAAAUGCGUAGAUAUAUGGAGGAACACCGGUGGCGAAAGCGGCUCUCUGGACUGUCACUGACACUGAGGCUCGAAAGCGUGGGUAGCAAACAGGAUUAGAUACCCUGGUAGUCCACGCCGUAAACGAUGAGUGCUAGUUGUUUGGGGCUAUCCAGCCCUAAGUGACGCAGCAAACGCAUUAAGCACUCCGCCUGGGGAGUACGACCGCAAGGUUGAAACUCAAGGAAUUGACGGGGGCCCGCACAAGCGGUGGAGCAUGUGGUUUAAUUCGAAGCAACGCGAAGAACCUUACCAGGUCUUGACAUACUCGUGCUA
rnacentral:rRNA from 1 species